rnacentral:rRNA from 1 species
CCCCUAGACGUCCUGGGCGGCACGCGCGCUACAAUGACACAUUCAUCGAGCUUUUUACCUCGGCCGAGAGGCCCGGGCAAUCUUUUCAAAAUGUGUCAUGACGGGGAUUGCAGAUUGCAAUUUUUCUGCAUGAACGAGGAAUGCCUAGUAGACGCAAGUCAUCAGCUUGCAUCGAUUACGUCCCUGCCCUUUGUACACACCGCCCGUCGCUACUACCGAUUGAAUGGUUUGGUGAGUUCUAUGGACUGUCCGGUAGGGAUGGCAACAUCCCCGCUAGACGGGAAGUAAUGCAAACCUGAUCAUUUAGAGGAAGUAAAAGUCGUAACA